AUGUUGACGUACUUCGCCCCACAGCUGCUGAAGUACAACAAUCGCUCCAUCCCACCCUGUAUUUCCACCAUUAAGCAGCUAGGACUAUUGCGUAGACCUCGAUAUAUCCACAGAGGCUCAGGGAGAAACUUUGUUUAUGGUCAGCCUGCUGGCUUCAUCACAUCCAUUAGGUCCGCAGAGACGGCUGAGGGCAAAAGACGUAACAUCGCGAGAUCCCCGCACUCCCGGCUGGAUAGAUUUCAUGGAGUGGAUUCCAACCUGCGCGGAGUGGAUUUUAAGGCUCUGCGACCUGUACAGAGAAUAACUCCAAAGUCACUGGUUAAAUUUGAACUUUUCAACACUCAAUCCUUGAAUAAUAAAUCCAGCUUGAUUGAAGAGCAUAUCAGGGAAAAAGGACUUGACUUCAUGUGUCUAACAGAAACCUGGCACCAGCCAGAGGUUUACUCUGCCCUAAACGAAGCCUGUCCCCCAGGCUACAGUUACUUGGAGGCAGCCCGCAGAACUGGACGCGGUGGUGGCCUAGCUGUCAUCCACAAACAGGACCUGGAGUUGUCCCCCAUGGUGCUGCCUACAACUUCCUCCUUUGAAUGUCUUGCAUUCACAUGCAAGCCCCCCCAUCCCAUGACUGUUCUACUCAUAUACAGGCCCCCUAAACCCAACUCUGCUUUCAUCCCGGAAAUGUCUGAUCUCCUCACAACACUCUGUACUACCUCUGCCAAUACCAUCAUUCUGGGUGAUUUAAAUAUUCAUGUUGACACCCCCUCAUGCCAGCCCGCUGCUGAUUUUCUUCAGCUGCUAGACUCCCUCAACCUACAACAACAUGUUGAUGCCCCCACACACUCCAGAGGACACACAAUUGACCUGGUCAUCUCAAACUCCGCCCCCAUCAGCAACCUACAGGUCUAUGAUCUUGGCGUCUCGGAUCACAGAGUUGUGUCAAUGGAGCUCCCUUUUCCUUCCUCCCACACCAAACCAAAGCGGCAGAUCCACUUCACGCUGUUGAAACUUCCUACAACUUAA
rnacentral:lncRNA from 1 species